AAACAUAGGUCUGAACAGGUGGCU
rnacentral:piRNA from 1 species